rnacentral:sRNA from 1 species
CCGCAGGGCCAGCUCCAAGGGUGGUGGAGGCUACACUUGUCAGAGUGGCUCUGGCUGGGAUGAGUUCACCAAACAUGUCACCAGUGAAUGUUUGGGGUGGAUGAGGCAGCAAAGGGCGGAGAUGGACAUGGUGGCCUGGGGUGUGGACCUGGCCUCAGUGGAGCAGCACAUUAACAGCCACCGGGGCAUCCACAACUCCAUCGGCGACUAUCGCUGGCAGCUGGACAAAAUCAAAGCUGACCUGCGUGAGAAAUCUGCGAUCUACCAGUUGGAGGAGGAGUAUGAAAACCUGCUGAAAGCGUCCUUUGAGAGGAUGGAUCACCUGCGACAGCUGCAGAACAUCAUUCAGGCCACGUCCAGGGAGAUCAUGUGGAUCAAUGACUGCGAGGAAGAGGAGCUGCUGUACGACUGGAGCGACAAGAACACCAACAUCGCUCAGAAACAGGAGGCCUUCUCCGUAAGUUCACCCCACGCGGCUGUAGACGCUUGUCUUGAGCCUGUUGCCUUGAAGAGCUGGGGUCUCGGGGAAUGAAUGGUCUAUUAAUAAUUUAAUCAGCCACUUGCAAUUCAGCCUCCUUUGAAAUGGUCAUGAAAAAUCCUUCCUUCCUGAAAACUUCUCCGUGUGGAGGCCAUUAUCCUUAGCAAACUUAUGCGGGAACAGAAAACCAAAUACCACAUGUUCUCACUUAGGAGUGGGAACUAAAUGAUGAGAACACAUGGAUACAUCGAGGGCAACAACACACACUGGGGCCUU